CAUAAUUUAGCUUAAC
rnacentral:tRNA from 2 species